AGACCCGAAACCUGGUGAUCUAGCCAUGGACAGGCUGAAGGUGGGGUAACACCUACUGGAGGCCGAACCCACGCCUGUUGAAAAAGUCGGGGAUGAUCUGUGGCUAGGGGUGAAAGGCCAAUCAAACCAGGAAAUAGCUGGUUCUCCGCGAAAUCUAUUGAGGUAGAUCGUCGGUCGAUCACCCUCGGAGGUAGAGCACCGGAUGGGCUAGGGGGGCCCAAAGCCCUACCAAACCCAACCGAACUCCGAAUGCCGAGGAGUGCAGGCCGGCAGACAGACAGCGGGUGCUAAGGUCCGUUGUCGAGAGGGAAACAACCCAGACCACCAGCUAAGGCCCCUAAAUGAUGGCUAAGUGGGAAAGCAUGUGGGACGGCCAAAACAACCAGGAGGUUGGCUUAGAAGCAGCCAUCCUUUUAAAGAAAGCGUAAUAGCUCACUGGUCUAAACAAGCUGUUCUGCGGCGAAAAUGUACCGGGGGCUCAAGCCAUCUGCCGAAGCUGUGGGUGCGCCUCCUAACGGAAGCGCGCGGUAGCGGAGCG
rnacentral:rRNA from 1 species